CUAAGGGGGACACUGAGCAAGGCUGAGAAGCAGGAGAAGGAGAGAAAAGCCUUUCCUGGGAACCAGGCAGGAGAAGGCGAGAUGCACGCACACAUCCACGCCGGGCUGACUCCACAGAAAACCAGCUCCCAUCAACAUGUCAGGACUGUCAGAGUUUUCUGGAAGGUUUUGUUCUGACUGGGGGUUUCUUGACCUGGGGUCCACGGACAAAGAAUGCCAUGGUUCGGAGAACACCUGGGGACUUGGAAGGGAAGGAAAACUCCCAAGAAACGAUUCUACAAAGGGGAGUGGGUGUGGAAUAAGGAGGCGCUCUGAAUUUAUCUCGUUUGUCAUCCCCAACCUUCAAGACAAACUCUG